rnacentral:rRNA from 1 species
UACGUAGGAGACGAGCGUUGUCCGGAGUUACUGGGCGUAAAGGGUGCGCAGGUGGCGGCGCGCGUGGGGGGUGAAAUCGCCCGGCUUAACUGGGCGGGGGCCUUCCAGACGGCGUGGCUUGAGCAGCGGAGGGGGACGUGGAAUUCCGGGUGGAGCGGUGAAAUGCGUAGAGAUGUGGAGGAACACCGAUGGCGAAGGCAGCCCCCUGGGCUGAGAUUGACGCUCAGGCACGAAAGCGCUGGGGAGCAAACAGGGAU